rnacentral:rRNA from 1 species
AGUGAACGCUGGCGGUAGACCUAACACAUGCAAGUCGAACGGCAGCACAGUAAGAGCUUGCUCUUACGGGUGGCGAGUGGCGGACGGGUGAGGAAUACAUCGGAAUCUACUUUUUCGUGGGGGAUAACGUAGGGAAACUUACGCUAAUACCGCAUACGACCUACGGGUGAAAGCAGGGGAUCUUCGGACCUUGCGCGAUCGAAUGAGCCGAUGUCGGAUUAGCUAGUUGGCGGGGUAAAGGCCCACCAAGGCGACGAUCCGUAGCUGGUCUGAGAGGAUGAUCAGCCACACUGGAACUGAGACACGGUCCAGACUCCUACGGGAGGCAGCAGUGGGGAAUAUUGGACAAUGGGCGCAAGCCUGAUCCAGCCAUACCGCGUGGGUGAAGAAGGCCUUCGGGUUGUAAAGCCCUUUUGUUGGGAAAGAAAAGCAGCAGGUUAAUACCCCGCUGUUCUGACGGUACCCAAAGAAUAAGCACCGGCUAACUUCGUG